ACAUUGCUUUUUCUAAACAAGGACAAGGUAAUACAUGGUUUAUUCUUUCACUGUUAUUUUGUAACGAGUCAGUGGGAGUAUAACCCGGGGAACAAAUCCCACGAGAUUGGUUUUAGGCUGGAAAGAUGUGAGCUUCCUUUUCGUGACUCCUGCUGCUUGAGCACUGUCCUGAGGUGUCUGGGGAGACUGGAGUGGGAUGGAUUUGCAUUCUCCAGGCCGCCUUUCCGCCUGUCCUCUCUGCACCAGCCUUUGGGAGCAGUGUUGGGGGGACACUUGCAUUGCCCAUUCAUGUGGAGCUCUGGGCAGGCCCAGACCACAGUGGGGCUCCAGAGCAGAUGUUCAAAUAUUCAGAUGUCAGCCUGGGAGGACACUGUCCCUGCAAACACCCCUCCCCCAGGGGAGAGCAAUCCCAACCUGCCCCUUGGCACGUGAAUCAUGCUUGGUCAUUUGGUUUUACUAGGAAGAGGGAGUUUGACUAGGAAGUUGGGGGAGUAGAAGAGAAAGAAGGUUUCUCCUGGGCACACCAGCAACACACUUGACCUCCCUGGAGUGAGCAGUGUCCAAACCAUUACGGGAGCCGCUGGGCAGAGGGGUGUGGGGAAACGCUUCCU
rnacentral:lncRNA from 1 species